AAUGCAUAUUGUGCUCUUUGGUAUUCCAAAGAGCAUGCUUGUUUGAGUAUCAGUAAACACCUCAACCUCCUCUUGUUUUUACAAAAGGAGGGUGGACUUGAGCUAUCCCAACAACCUUCACUGGUAGGCAGGCGGCUUGAAAUGCAGGUGCAGCUGGACUUUUAUCUGAGCUAAAAGCAUAUCUAUUUAGUCCUCAUCAAACAGGAUUAUUACUAUUGUUGCAGCUAACAUAAAGGAUAAUUGUCCUCAUUGCUGACUGAUGCAGGAUUUUAUGACACUUUAUGUGUUGUUCAACUCGAUCUCAAAUCAAGUAAGACUACCCACUGAACUUAA
rnacentral:misc_RNA from 1 species